CCAAGCCUCAGUUAUUGCCCGAUUGGAAAUUAAAGGGAAUGAGCAGGAGUACUCUAAUUCACAAUUCUCCCGGAAGUGCAAAGAACAGCCAUUGCGCGGAUUUCAUUAGAGAUCUUGAACAUUCUCACGGAAUUGCUAUGUUUACACGAUUAAACAUUUACACGAUUAACAUUUCAAUUUUGUCUAAAAAAGAUUACUCCUUUCAUUGCUUUAAUCCUAAGGCAUAGAAAAGAAUUGUUUUACUGUGCUGCCUUCGAUCAUGCGCCAUUGUAUCUCCUCCUACGAUGUGUCACUGCACACAACACAACUGUUGCCACUUUUUUUUUCUUUUGAGUCAGCCGUGAUCAAAAUUUGUCCGUGAUCAUUAGCAUUUCACUGUACUAUUUAUUUUGUGCUUUUGGUUUUGUGGAGAGUAAACCAAGUGCGCCUCAGCGCUGCGUUGGUACUCAUGCCGAGUCACGUAAGCACUUGACGACGUUUACACCUUGUUUUCUCUCAUCUACAACUGAAAAACAAUACAUUCUUGAACUAGUAAAACAAUGGCCUGUUAGACAUGUAAAUAUCCUCUCGUAGCGUUAAGUGUAGUUCAAGUUUGAGUAAAAUAAAUACAGUCGCCGCUCCUCCAAAUAUUGCGCAGAAAUGAAAUAACAUGAGUUCUGACAUCAGUUAAGCGUUUAGUGUGCGUUGUUAACAAGAGUAAAUAUAACCGAAAAGUUGAAAGCUCCAUCUGGAGGCCGCACAUUCAAAAAAUAAAGAGUGUUCGUAAUUCUGUCGUCCAAUCAUGCAUGACAACAUUUCAAUCUAAAGCCACCAAUCACAGACCAGAAAUCGGACGCUUAGUGUAGUUUGGCCGCUAUUUGUACUAAGCAAGUUUUGACUUGAGAGUUUACGCUUUCUUAAUACAUGAAAAUGCGUGUACUUAUGCCCCGCUGUCAGCGGAAUUCGUGUAGAGCGAUUAGCUUAUCGCCUAGAACUGAAUGUUGUACAUGACCUUUGAUAGAAGGUCUUACUUUCCCCGUGACGGUUCAUUAUAAUAAGAAAACUGAAGAAGAUUAUUUGACUGCCGCAUACAACAAAAUCUGCAAGAUACACAGACAGCUUCCUGACGGAGAAAUACUCGUCUUCCUCACAGGUCAACAGGAAGUUAAUUUGUUGUGCCGCAAGCUGCGCGCAACCUUCCCAGCCACCAGCCUGCCGGACACUGAGCAGUGAGCAACCUUACGAUAGAGACGCCACCGAAUACAGAAAACGUUUGAACAAUCUGAAAAAGCAACGCUCAGCUAAGAAAGAACUGCUUUUGAAACAAGCUGCCGAAAAAGAAGCAGAAGCUGAGAAUGCUGCUCUGCUCACCAAGAAACUUCUCGAGGUCAACGUGCACGAAUUCGCUGCUGCAGCUUCGGUGUUUCCAGACAACGAAAAUAAAGCCAACGAAGGCGACGAUAUUGAGGACGGCGAUGUUACUGAAACAUCCAAGUCGAAUGAAGAACAAAACCGAGAAGAAGUUCCGUCCGACGAUGACUUUGAUUUGGGCGAGAACGCUGACGAAGAUAAGCUUGGCGACGAUGAGAAGAAGGGCGUGGGCAACGAGCAGCCACUGCACGUGUUGCCUCUCUACUCACUCCUGCCUGCUGAUCGUCAGAAG